rnacentral:rRNA from 1 species
UACGGGGGGGGCAAGCGUUGUUCGGAAUUACUGGGCGUAAAGGGCGCGUAGGCGGCCUUCUAAGUCAGACGUGAAAUCCCUCGGCUCAACCGAGGAACUGCGUCUGAUACUGGAAGGCUUGAAUCCGGGAGAGGGAUGUGGAAUUCCAGGUGUAGCGGUGAAAUGCGUAGAUAUCUGGAGGAACACCGGUGGCGAAGGCGGCAUCCUGGACCGGUAUUGACGCUGAAAUACGAAAGCGUGGGGAGCAAACAGG